AGGACGAACGCUGGCGGCGUGCUUAACACAUGCAAGUCGAGCGAGGCCCUUCCUUCGGGAAGGUGCCCUAGCGGCGAACGGGUGAGUAACACGUGGGCAACCUGCCCCUAGCACUGGGAUGAGCCCGGGAAAACCGGGUCUAAUACCGGAUAUGACCUUCGAGGGCAUCCUUGAAGGUGUAAAGGAUUCUGGCUAGGGAUGGGCCCGCGGCCUAUCAGCUUGUUGGUGGGGUAAUGGCCUACCAAGGCGACGACGGGUA
rnacentral:rRNA from 1 species